rnacentral:rRNA from 1 species
UACGUAGGGUGCGAGCGUUAAUCGGAAUUACUGGGCGUAAGGCGUGCGCAGGCGGUUUUGUAAGCCAGAUGUGAAAUCCCCGGGCUCAACCUGGGAAUGGCAUUUGGGACUGCAAGGCUGGAGUACGGCAGAGGAGACUGGAAUUCCUGGUGUAGCAGUGAAAUGCGUAGAUAUCAGGAGGAAUACCGAUGGCGAAGGCAGGUCUCUGGGCUGAUACUGACGCUCAUGCACGAAAGCGUGGGGAGCAAACAGG